AAGACUGGGGUGGGGGGGCUCUUCCGGCCCCUGCCUCAGUUUCCCCGCGCGCUCCCCCGCGCGCUCCCGCCAGCCCCGCCCCGCCCCGCCCCGGCCCUGCCUCAGUUUCCCCCGCCAGCCUCCAGCCCGGCCGCAGUUUCCCUUGUGCCUGGAGACGCCCCGGGCGCCUGCCCGCGCCCCGGUGCGGAGGGCCGUGCCGCCCGGGGCUGGGGGACGCGCCGGGGUCGGGGCGAGGGGGCCCCGGUGCUGCCGGCUCUCGGGGGCUCAGUGUCCCGCAGCGCCGGGCUCCGGGGAGGGUUUCGGGGUCCCCCCACCCCAGCUCUGGCGGUGUACUGGGGUCCCCGGUGCUGCCAGCUCUGGGCGGUAUCGGCCCCCCUGCACACGGCACCGUGGGGGUCUCGGGGUCCCUAAUACUGCCCGUCCUGGGGGGUCUCGGGGUCCCCAGCACGCAGCUCGGGGGGCUCGGUGCUGCCAGCUCUGGGGGGGGUCUCGGGGUCCCCCUGCUCCUGGGUCUUGGGGCGUGGUCUCACUGGGAAACGUGCCCUUCCCACAGCCAGGACCGGCCCCCAGGGGCCCUGCAGCGACUGUGGGCGCUUUGCAGACGCCAAGGGGAGGGGUGCCGGGGAAAAGGGUGCUCAGGCUUAAAGCACCGGUGCGUGGUCAGGAAGGACGCACAGAUGAGAUUCUCUGAGAGCUAUUCCCUAGCGAUUUGGAGGCGCACACCCAGAACUGGCGAGAAGACUCUUACCACAGAGCUACGAAGAAGCUCGAAACGGGCCGAAGUCAUUGUCCCAGAGAGCGGCUCGCUGGGACCCCCUGGGCCCCGGGACGAAGGCGGGGAGAGAAGAUGAGACCCCGUUAGGUGGCGCCCUAAAGAAAUCACCUGUUACAGAUGUGAGCGAGGGGGACGCGGUGCCCGAGACUGCGGGCUUACUCGUAAUGAAGGUGGAAAGAGAAUAGCUCCCCCCAAGCCCCCAGGGAAAGGCCCAAGGAACCUGAAGCGGUGGAGGCCAUGGACAAGUUAUGGGGGAAGUGAAAAGCCUGUGGCUUGAGCGCGACCCAUAAUGGCUGCAAGCCUGUGUGUGUGCGUGCAUGCAUCUGUGUUCAUGGCAUGAACGACUCGUGCCAUGGCUGGGGGGCACAGCAGUAGCAGGAGAGGCAGGAGUGCAGUGGCUGUCAGUGGUGGGAGGGGGUGGAGUGGUGGCAAGCGCCAACCAAGCAUUGGCAACCAAGCACAGCCGCUGCUGGCAGUGUCGGCAGUGCCUUUUUGUAGGGGGUGCACCACCAUAGUUAGGGGGUGCACAUGCACCCAUGUGAACCCCCUACACGUUGACCCUGGUUCGUGGCAGGGAAAGUGUGUUUGUGUGUCCAUGUGCAGAGAGUGAGUGUCUGUGUGUGCAUGUGUCUGCGUGCGUGUGUGUGUGUAUGUGUCUGUUCGUGGCAGGAGGGAGAGUGUGUUUGCCUGUGUGUCCAUGUGCAGAGUGAGUAGAGCUCAUGCCCAUCUGCGUGCAUGCAUGUGUCUGUGUGUACAUGCGUGUGUGUUUCUGCGUACAUGUGUCUGUGUUCAUGGCAGGAGGGAGAGUGCGUUUGUCUCCGUGUGUCCAUGUGCAGAGAGUGAGUGAGCAGAGUGUACGCCCGUCUGCAUGUGUGCGUGUGUGUGUGUGCAUAUGCACGUGUCUGUGUGUGUGUCUGUGUAUGCAUCUGUGCGUGUGUGUGUGUGCGCGCAUGUGUCUGUGUGCAUGCAUGUGUCUGUUCAUGGGAGGGAGAGAGUUUGUGCAUGUCUGUGUGCAUGUGUCUGUGCGUGCGUGUCUGUGCAUGGCUGUGCAUGUGUGCAUCUGUGCGUGCAUGUGUCUGUUCAUGCCAGGGACAGUAUGUUUGUCUCUGUGUGUCUAGGUGCAGAGAGUGAGUGAGAGUAGAGUGUGCACCCAUCUGUGCGUACGCCUGUGUGUGUGAUUGGCCAUAGUGGGGGAGGAGGAUAGGUAGCAGGGAGAAGAGGGGGCCAUGUGCCUCUGCACCCCCAGCCCGGCAGGGUCCCUCCAGCCUCCUCCACCAGCACCGGGAUGGGAAGAGCCCCUUCCCCCACCCCUGUAGUCCAGGUCCCGUUGGGGAGGGGGCCUUCAAUUUGGUGUUUGCCCAGCGCCCCAGUACACAUUAAUUUGCCUCUGCGGGGAGCAGAGCAGGGCUGGACCCAGAGUGGUGGGGUUGCAGGGGCGCGUGGCCAGACACAGGGCUCCAUCCCCACCUGCCCGGCCCCAUCAUUCCUGACAGGCACUUUGCCUGCAUCUUAGUCAUAAUCGAUUAAGCCACCUGGUACCCUGAGGCAAUCCCUUUGUGGGCAGCGACGGGGACACAUGUUACGGAGGAGUUACUGAAGUGGAUAUCGAGGGUAGGACUUCCAAGGGAUGUUGUAACCAAUCAGGGCACUAACUUCAUGGCUAAGGUAUCACAGAACGCCUGUUGGGUCCUAGGGAUCCGAUGGUUGCCAACAUGAGGCUACCACCCCUGGACAAAAGGUCUGGUAGAGAGGUUAAAUGGGACACUAAAAGGGAUGCUCAGUAAGUGCACUCAGAAGGACUCAUGAAAGUGGGACUUGUUGAUCACCCAGUUAUUGUUUGUCCUGAGGGCCACCCCACGGGCAUCCACGAAGUAGUCUCCCUUGGAUCUGGUUUAUGGACGCAGGCGCAGGGGGCUAUUAGCAGUUCUUAAGGAACCCACAUUGAGCCCAACAGGAGCUGAGGCUCAUUGUGAAGCUCUGAGGGCCUGUUUGCUGCCCAUGAGGCAGGUGGCCCUGGAAAAUUUGAGGGAGAUCCAACAGAAACCAAAGAGGCAUCAUGACAGAACGGCUGAGGAGAGAGCUGCCAGUCAACAACAGGGUGUCAGUCCUAUUACCCACCAUGGCCGGUAACCUGCUGACAAAGUGGCAAGGCCCUUGGAAAUAAGAAGGCACGCCGGGCUGGUGGAUGACGAGCUAUUCCGAACGGGCAUCAAUGGGAGCAACAGAUUUUCCAUGUAAACUUGUUAAAAGCUGGAAGAAGGCCGAGCGGUGGUUGGCUGAGGCUGAACUAGAAAGUGCAGAACUUGGCCCUGCAAUAAGCGGGGACGUUAGGGAGACACCCGGGGAGGAAAGAGUACAAAUUGAAGAGCGCCUGGCAGCUAGUCAGGGAGGAGACUUGGUUCGGGUUAUUUGCGCCUUCCGCGAUGUCUUUCGAGAGGAACGUGGGUGGGUCGCACACCCUGCCUAGAAGAGUGGUGUGAGAGUGAUGGCGCCCUGACCCCGACCGUUUAUAUGGCCCCAUGAAGCAGGAGCUCUGAAAGAUGCUUGGACGAGGGGUAACAGUCCCCUCACGGGGUCUGUGGCAAAGCCUGAUGGGACCUUACGUCUCAGUGUAGAUUUCAAAUGCUGGAGCAGCUUUCGAUGCCUUCCCCAUGCCCCAGCUUUUAGAAAGAAUAGGACAGGCCUGCUACAUAACGAUGCUUGACCUGUCUCAAGAGUACUGGCAAAUACCCAUGGCCACAAAAGACGAUGCCAAAGCUGCUUUUGGGACCCCAUGGGGCCUAUAUGAAUUUUGUAGAAUGCCCUUCAGCCUGCACGGGGCGGCAGCCCCCUUCCAAAGACUGAUGAACCGAGCUUUGGCCUUACAUGGUGCCCCACACACCGGACGCUGCCAACAGGCGCUGUGCGUGAGUGCAGGGACAGCGAGAGCCCGAGCCGCCAUCUAGCUGAGAUCUCUCCUGGGGAGACGUGGCUGCUGCGCUGGAGCCCGUGGCAGUAGAUCUGCAGGGAGGAGCUGAGGGUGCAGAAGUCCCUCGUGUCGUGCAGAGCGGGACGGGGGGCAGGAGUCCCUACAGCGGUCGGCAUCACAGCCAGUAAAACAGCAGCUGCAGACAGAGCCAGUCCAGCACCAGGAGCUUUGGGGGCAGGACACAAUGCAGGCCAUGGAGCCCCCUUGUGAGACCGAGCUGCCCUCUGCGACCCCACAGCUGGCACUGUGGGAUGAGCUCCCCACCCCAGAGGCCUGGCACCAGCUCUUCCGUGGCCUCCGCUACCGGGAAGCCGAGGGCCUAAGGAAGAUUUGUCGCCGCCUGUGGGAGCUCUGCCAGCGCUGGCUGGAGCCCCAGCACUGCAGCAAGGAGCAGAUCCUGGAGCUGGUGGUGCUGGAGCAAGUCCUGGCCAUCCUGCCCCAAGACAUGCAGAGCUGGGGGUGCGGGUGCCAAGUGGAGGCCUCUGCCAAGGCUGUUAACCUGGCCAAGGGGUUUCAGCUGGGGCAGGCAGAAGAUGAGAAGCUCCAGGUGAGUGUUUGUUUGCUGCCAUCUGCACCUCCACGUGUCUGGGGGAUGUUCCCUCCAGGAUCAAGGCUCCCCAGUGACACAUUUGUCUUGUCCCUAGGUCACAGUGCAUGCAGCACCCAAAGGUCCAUCGUGGGGACAGGCCUCUGGUGGAGGCAGGAGAGCAGGAAACCCCAGGGCCCGAGGACAAGCUGCCUCAUGUCCUCCAUGAUGAGCUGCCAACACACCAAGAGUCAGGUCCUUACCAGCCUUUUCGAUAUAUAUGGUUAACAAGGGCUCGACACCCAAAGAGCAUCAGUAACCCCCAACCCCCUCUUAUAACUGUUGGCUACUGGGUAUAGGUCAGCUCCCCAAAGAAAGAUAACUUUCUGUUAACUGUUUUGUGUGUGUAAGCUAUAAUAUAUUUGCCUUUAUUUCACUCCCAACUUUACCUCCGCUAUCCAAAACUGAAUCAAACAGCCCAGUUGGCCUGUGAAAAAAUUGAUACACUCACAGUGCCCAUCAGGCUUGUGACACUGUUUUAGGGCAAUGUCUGGUACAGGGAAUGAGCCCAUGGGGAUUUCCUCUGCUGAUGAGUCCCAGGGAGCCUCCACAUCACAGGAAUCUGCACUGGGACAAAGGCCUUGGUAUGAACCUUCAAUGGACUUUGGGCUGAGUCUCAGGCUUUGUGACACUCUGGGCCUAAGAGUGGGAAUAGAUUUGGGGAAAUUCUGCUGCAAAUGAUGGGGUAUUCCCUUCCCAUCACAACAGAAAACUUCUGAAUCCAACUAACUCCAUGGAGCCACUUCAUGCAGCCUAAGACCAGGAUUACACACGUCCUGUGCUCCAGGUCGACCCAACCAGGAGAUGUCAGGGACAACCCCAGCCUCUCUCACCCAAGAGCCAUGGCUACACAGAGCUUCUUCUGCACACCAUGUGGAUUUCCAUGGGGGACUACAAAUCCCAUCUUGCCCUGAGAGAGGGUGUUAGAGAGGUAUGGCUACUUGGGCUGGGGAAUCAACUCCUACAAUGGGGAGUAAAGAGAGAAAUUUAAAAUCAUGGUGUCCCAAGGAAACCAGAUCUGAGCCUAAAAAGGAAGACAGCAAGCUCUAUUGUCCCCUAACAGCUGUAGUCAGGGGGAGAACAAUGGGACAGGUGCUUGUCUCCACAGCUCUGAAUUUCAAAGAGUGAAACACCUGCCUGGACACAUGACAGCAUAAGCUAUUUGAGGUUAGCACUCAGGGAUGGCAGCACGGGGCAGGUCUGCAGUUUUCAGGCCCCCUUUCACCCUGGGCAUGGAGCAUUUGUGAGAGGGGAGUCAGGUGGAUGGGACAGCCACAAAUCACCUGGCAGCAGGUCCUCUGACCUCGAGAUUUCCCCUUGGUCCUCAUCAUCAGAGACCCAGAGAUGCACCUGUCCUCACUGAUUAAGUCAGGUGUGGGACCUCAAUAUCCUGUUUGGGGCCGUAGUUAAAGCGUGUUUCUGACUGGGUACUGGACGCAGAAUAACCAACUGGGAUUUGGGGAAGGGAUCCAAUGAAUUCAAGGUUUCUACUCAGGACUUGAUGGCCAGUGAAGGGUGGGGACUGAAGGAUGAAAGAGAAGGCAAAGCAGGGAGAAGCCUUCAGGAGAUGAUGGUCCUUGUCAUGCAGGGAGUGGAUGUACGGUCAUAGGAAUCUUUCAAUCUGUUGUAGGCCAACUGGGCACUGCGAGGGUAUUAGCCACACUGGGCUGUUCAAAACAACAAAUAGACAGACAUGGGUUGGCAACUUAUCGAUAGUCCCUCGAUGCCACGUGUGCGCCAAGUGAUUCCAGUGAAGUCAGGCGUCCCUGAUGAUCGAUGCUGUCAGAGGGAUUACCGGGGAAGAUCCCUUGAUCAGGAACAGGGACCCGAUCCUCACUCACACGGGGAGUCUGGGGUCCGGGCGUGGACCAGAAACAACCAUUCUAUUCCCUCCUUCCUGCUGGUUACCUGAUGCACGUGCUUUUUAUACCUAGUCUUAUGUUAAUCUGUUGGCCUCAGGGCCACUCAUAAUGUUGCCCUAUAGCUGUUACCCUAUGGGAUUGAAAGGUGAUGAAACUAUCAUAAAAGGUGACUACUCAGACUCAGGUUUAUCCAAUAAGCAAAUUAUGAUGCAGCACCUUAAGGUUUGAAAUUGUCAUCGCUCUGCCUAAAUCCCAACCCCUUUUAGGCUUCAUUUGAAUAUGCUUUUUUGGGAUAUGCUUUCCUAGAAUAUGUUGGGUGUGCCAAGCAGUUAGAUCUAGUUUUUAUCGCUAAGGCUGAACCCUGAGCAAAAAACCGUUAGGCCAGCUAAUCUCCCAGCUACAGCUUUGCCUCUGGGGACCAGUCAGUCCCAUGAACAGUGAAUUUAUCAUUUUGAUUAAACUUAUGACAGACAAGUUACAUUUGCAGUUUACAAACUUAAAAGCUUAUAUUAACUAAUAUUACCUGUUUAAGCAAAAUACCAAAUGCCUCCAAGAAGCACAUAGUAUUGCUUAAUAAUCCCUCUGGUUCUGGCUGUUACAAAACAGGUAGGAAGCACCCUGCUGCUCCUUCCAGAAGGGAGACCACAGCUCUGAAUCCUCCGCUUCCAGAACAUUUCUUGGAGGGAUGAGGAAUGAAACCUGGGCUUUUCUUAUCAAGCAGAAGUAGUAUUUUCUGUACAACAGAAGUAGCUGGUGCAGUGUAAGGCAGUGCUCCCUGCACACUCCUGACGGCUGACAACCCUGGGUUGGGCUGGGCUGGGCUGUUCCCGGUGGGUGUUUGGUGCAGAGCUGCAGUGCGGCUGGGCAGGGGCUGCACUUGGUGCAGGUGGUGGAGCUAAAGAAGGGGCUGCAGCCACCCCAAAAUUUGCCGUAACCCCCCUCCCAACACUUCUGCUGCCUGCCCUGAUUGCAGCCUUGGCCAAAACACCCACCAGCAAGAGCACAGCUCUGGCCCCAGCCUGCAGCAGCAGUCCACCCUUGCCCUGCGCACAGAUCCAGGUGGCAUGUGCCCCCCAUGCCUUUCCCGGGGUUGUGCACUGUGGCAGGAGACAGCCAUCCCAUGACUCCUGAACCAGCUGCUUGGGGCUCUGGCCCCAUCUGGGCAACAUCUGCCCCAGCCCCACUCCCUCCCUCAACACAGGGACCUCAAUAUGCCCCUCCCACCCCAUUCCCCCCAGACACUUACCAGCUAGACGUUGCUCUCCAAGCUUCCAGGUGUCAUAUUGAAUGUAAUAGUCUGAAUACCUGUAAUAGUUUCCCACUAGCCAGUUUAGGAAAAAGACAAGAUUCAUCUUCUGAUCUAGGCCAUUGUUUUGGCCUAUGUGUGGAAGGUCCUAGCUUUGCUCAAAGUCUUAACUCUUGAAUUUUAUCUUUAGAGGCCUUUAACAAAGUGAACAUAAAAAUGACCCUUAAGCAAACAUCCCACAUUCCGAGAGAUCAAACCCUAGGAGCCUUUUAAAAAUUGGAAAGAAAGGAAAUUCCUCAAAGUAAUUAAAAUGGUCAACAAAAGAAACUAAUUACCAAGCAAAAGAAUCUGUUAAGAAAGAUCUGAGCCCAAAUUUGGGAGUAGUGACAGGUUUGGGUAGGACUGGCCCAAGACGGCAACUCACUCGAUACAAACUGUAACCUACUGUCCCAAUUUGGAGGUAACCUCACUUGCAGAACAACGAAGGAAGAAUUGCAAGUGUAGGCCAGAUCAGACUGAUCACCUGAACCACCCUCUCUGUGAACACAAAUCUCUUAGUUCACGCUGAAGCCGCAGAGCGCCCGAGUGGGACUGAAGGAAGGGGACUUGUUCCUAUCACUGCUGAGGCCAGCCCAUUGAACUGUACUACUGAGGCUAGCCUAUUGAACCGUACUACUGAGGCCAACCCAUUAAGUUGUACUACUGAGGAAUGAAACUAUAUUUAGGUGUUUGGCUUCUUGGAAUUCUAGGACUGUAAGUAUAAUAUAGUAAUAACUUUUCUAGUUAAAAUUAUAUAGUUAGUUGUAAUUGUAAUUGUUUUAAAGAAGUCCAUUUGAAGCAUUGUUUCUGAUAUAUGUAGUUAUUGUGUUCUUAAUGUUUGUGGUAUUUCUUAAAGCUAAGUAGUGUUAUAUGCGUAGCAAAGAAUUUUAAAAUAAAAUUGUGGUGUAUGAA